rnacentral:rRNA from 1 species
CUACGUGCCAGCAGCCGCGGUAAUACGGGGGGUGCGAGCGUUAAUCGGAAUAACUGGGCGUAAAGGGCACGCAGGCGGUGACUUAAGUGAGAUGUGAAAGCCCCGGGCUUAACCUGGGAAUUGCGUUCUGAACUGGGUGACUAGAGUGUGUCAGAGGGAGGUAGAAUUCCACGUGUAGCAGUGAAAUGCGUAGAGAUGUGGAGGAAUACCGAUGGCGAAGGCAGCCUCCUGGGAUAACACUGACGUUCAUGCUCGAAAGCGUGGGUAGCAAACAGGAUUAGAUACCCUGGUAGUCCACGCCCUAAACGAUGUCAAUUAGCUGUUGGGCAACUUGAUUGCUUAGUAGCGUAGCUAACGCGUGAAAUUGACCGCCUGGGGAGUACGGUCGCAAGAUUAAAACUCAAAGGAAUUGACGGGGACCCGCACAAGCGGUGGAUGAUGUGGAUUAAUUCGAUGCAACGCGAAGAACCUUACCUGGUCUUGACAU